GGCCUUCGGGUUGUAAAGUACUUUCAGCAGUGAGGAAGGUGGGUAUGUUAAUAGCAUACUCAUUUGACGUUAGCUGCAGAAGAAGCACCGGCUAACUCCGUGCCAGCAGCCGCGGUAAUACGGAGGGUGCGAGCGUUAAUCGGAAUUACUGGGCGUAAAGCGCAUGCAGGUGGUUUGUUAAGUCAGAUGUGAAAGCCCGGGGCUCAACCUCGGAAUUGCAUUUGAAACUGGCAAACUAGAGUACUGUAGAGGGGGUAGAAUUUCAGGUGUAGCGGUGAAAUGCGUAGAGAUCUGAAGGAAUACCGGUGGCGAAGGCGGCCCCCUGGACAGAUACUGACACUCAGAUGCGAAAGCGUGGGGAGCAAACAGGAUUAGAUACCCUGGUAG
rnacentral:rRNA from 1 species